rnacentral:rRNA from 1 species
UACGGGGGGGGCAAGCGUUGUUCGGAAUUACUGGGCGUAAAGGGCGCGUAGGCGGCCUGCUAAGUCGGACGUGAAAUCCCUCGGCUCAACCGGGGAACUGCGUCCGAUACUGGUGGGCUCGAAUCCGGGAGAGGGAUGUGGAAUUCCAGGUGUAGCGGUGAAAUGCGUAGAUAUCUGGAGGAACACCGGAGGCGAAGGCGGCUUGCUGGGCUCGGUCUGACGCUGAGGCGCGAAAGCGUGGGGAGCGAACAGG